rnacentral:lncRNA from 1 species
CUACAGUGAUUCUGUAAUGAUGAAGACCUUUAUGGGAUGGGUAGACCAGAGCUGAUUAAAUUAUUCUCCCAUUGAUGAGGAACUUUACCUUAUCCCUCAGAGUAAGGAGAAUGUCAUAUAAUGAUGAAGAUCUUGACUGUUACCCAUGUGGCAAGGAGAGUGUAGAACAGGGAAAGAUACUGAUCUCUGUUCUUGGUUAAGUUCCAAGAACCAUCUAAGUUUCGUGCCCCUCAGCUGUAAAAGGGAAGUACAUUUCAUUUGUUUAUUCUGUAAAACUCUCGGUGUGUGCCAUGGCUCAUCCUGCCCAGAGCUUGUGAAGGUGCAGUGG